GUGGGGAAUCUUCCGCAAUGGACGAAAGUCUGACGGAGCAACGCCGCGUGAGUGAUGAAGGUCUUCGGAUUGUAAAGCUCUGUUAAUCGGGACGAAAGAGCCUAGUGUGAAUAAUGCUAGGAAGUGACGGUACCGGAAUAGAAAGCCACGGCUAACUACGUGCCAGCAGCCGCGGUAAUACGUAGGUGGCAAGCGUUGUCCGGAAUUAUUGGGCGUAAAGCGCGCGCAGGCGGAUCUGCCAGUCUGUCUUAAAAGUUCGGGGCUUAACCCCGUGAUGGGAUGGAAACUACAGAUCUAGAGUAUCGGAGAGGAAAGUGGAAUUCCUAGUGUAGCGGUGAAAUGCGUAGAUAUUAGGAAGAACACCAGUGGCGAAGGCGACUUUCUGGACGAAAACUGACGCUGAGGCGCGAAAGCCAGGGGAGCGAACGGGAUUAGAUACCCCGGUUAGUCC
rnacentral:rRNA from 1 species